UACGUAGGGUGCAAGCGUUAAUCGGAAUUACUGGGCGUAAAGCGUGCGCAGGCGGUUUUGUAAGUCCUGUCGUGAAAUCCCCGGGCUCAACCUGGGAAUUGCGAUGGAGACUGCAAGGCUGAGAAUCUGGCAGAGGGGGGGUAGAAUUCCACGUGUAGCAGUGAAAUGCGUAGAGAUGUGGAGGCAACGACCGAUGGCGAAGGCAGCCCCCUGGGUCAAGACUGACGCUCAUGCACGAAAGCGUGGGGAGCAA
rnacentral:rRNA from 1 species